UGGACAGGGAAGCCUGGCGUGCUGCAGUCCAUGGGGUCACAAAGAGUGGGACAUGACUAAGCUACAGAACUGAUCUUUUUCAAUAGCAUCCAAAUGCAAACUAUUGUCACUUUGGAGUAGGCAGAGAGACCUUAUAAAAAUACAAUUCUCAGUUUAUCUGAAACCCUUUAAUAGCUUCUCACUGCUGUUAGAACAAAGGCCAAAACCUUGCAGCAAAGCCCAGAAGGUUCUCUCUAGUCUGGUCUGGCUCCUGCUCUGCAUCAUCUCUCCUUCACUGCCUCUCCCUGUCUGUACACUAACCCCACAGGCCUCCUUUCAGUUCUGCAACCCCUAGUGGCCACAGGCCCUCUGUACAUGCAGUCCUUGCUAUCUAGAACAUCUCCCCUCCGCCGUGAAAUGCCCCCCGCUUUGCUUAUAUGACUCAUUCAUUCAUCUAUGAUUUAGUUCACUCAACAGAUACUUAUUGAACACCUGUUAUGUGCCAGGCACUGUUUAAGUAUUUGGGAUCAGCACUGAAUAAAGUUCCUGUUCUCAGAGAACUUGCAUUUUAGUGCGGAAAACAGAAAAAAGAAUCAAACAAGUAAAUAACUAGAAACACAAUAAUGGCAGGGUGCUGUGAAAACAAGAAAAGCAGGGGAAAGGGACUGUGAGAGAAGAGGAUGCUGGUGGAGGAGAGCUCAAAGAAGCCCACCAUGGAGAAGUGACACCUGGACAGAGAACUGAAGUAGCCGUGCAGGUGAAUGGGGAGAACAUUCCAGGGAGACGAAACGGCAAGAGCCAAAGCCUUAAGGAAGGAACACAUAAGAGUGGUUUAGAAAAUGAGGGCAGAGAGGUAGCCAGGGGCAGAUCGUGGGGGUCCUUGUAGACUAUGGUAAGGAAACUGGACUUAAUGUGACAAGUGAUGGGAAGGCAUUGGAGGGUUUUGGGCAGCAGAGUGAAAUGAUCUAGCAUAGAGCAAUCCCUCCGGUGGCUACUGGGGUGGCCCAGGCAAGAGAUAGUGGUGACCUGGUCUAUAGCGGCAGCAGUGGAGGUGAAGGCAUUCAGGAUAUGUGGUCAGAAGGUAUGGUCAGCAAGAACUGCUGAUGGGCUGGAUGUGAGAGAGGAGGGUAGGAUGACACAUAGGUUUGUGCCCUUACUGACCUGGUGAAUUCCUACUGACGUCAGUUCUAAGCUCUAAGACUCCUCCUUAGGGAAGGCCUUCCCUGGGAUCCAGAUUAGGAGGGCUCCUGUUGAGAGGCUGACCACUACCCAUCCUGCAUUUUCAGAAUAUAAGACUGAAACCCGCUCAUUCUUUUCUUAGUUAGCCCUGUGUUUUUGUGAACCACACGAGUGUUAGUUUGGGUAUGGUGAUAACAUCUUCCAGGAGCCAAAGACUAUUCUGCUAUUGUCUCUUUUCUUCCCCAGAUAAAGGAAGGCUCACAUGUGACCUGUGAUCCAAAAUGACACCAGGAAGGUAAGAGUUCUGUUUGAUCCAUGAGGAAACUGAGACUCAAAAAGCUUAAUUCAUCUCCCCAAGGUCACAGAGCUAGAAGUGGAGGAGCUGGGAUUUAAACCUGAGUCCUGCUUCAGCAUCAGAGACGAGGAGUCAGUUAAAGAAUAAACAGACAGACAGGAUAUGACGACUUUAAUGAAGUUGGUCACUGAAUACAACAUCCUCUUUGCUCCCUGAUAGUCCAGCAGACAUCCAACAUCCUUGAUGCUGGAGGUUUUCUCUACCAAAGAACUGAGUGAGACCAUUUUGCUGGAAUCCUGGCUCUGGGAGAACUGGGCUAAUUCUUCUGAAAUUGCUGGAAGCGGGACAUGUGACCUAACAAACUUUCCACUACUACCCUGCAGGCAUUCUGACCAGGGUGCUGUAUGGCUUGUUGUGUGUAUCGUCAGGGGGCCAUUAGCUUGACACCAUCUAGUUGUAGGUCCCAAUCUGCUGCUUCUCUGGCUACACAUUCAGCCAUCUCUUUUGGCAGAUGGUAGGCCAGCGUUGGAUGUGGUUCCUCAAUCUCCCCAUUCAUCAGUCUCUUCUCUGAUGAGGAUUUCUGGUUCCCUGGUGGGUAGGCCUUGACAUAGGAACUUAGAAACAUCAUAGAGCCUGGAAGAGAGUCAGUGUGAGUCUUCCUGCCUGGAUCCUCACAUGCCUGCUGGUUUGUCCAGGAUCCACCAUCCA